GGUAGGAAAGCAAAGGUAUGGAUUCAGCCUCAUGAUUCUCCCUCUCCCCCUGCAGAUGAGAAGAGAUGAAGAGACAGAAGCAGUGCAGGUAUGAAGGUGUACAUCUGCAGGAAUGCCCCUGUACAUGCCGCUACAAGGAGUAAACAGAAGAGAGUCCAGGAGAGGGAAAGAAGAGCCAGGAGAGCAGGAGUAUUCUGAGGAAACAACUUCUAAACUGACUGCAAAAGAGGUUGGCCUGGUUGUGAUACCUGUAUUUGCAAGAGUAAUACUACUGGGCUUCCCAGGUGGCUCAGGCAGUG